rnacentral:lncRNA from 1 species
GUUGUGCAUGUUAUCAUGAGUUAUCUGCUUAUACUAUAUUUUUGUUAUUGUAGAUUAACUGUAUAAAUAGUAUUCUCACUGUCACUUGGAGGUAUACUAGAUGUAAAUAAAUUAAUCAGAUCAAAUUAUAUGGACUGGUUGAGAAAUUUGAGAAUAGUUCUCAUAUAGAAGAAAGUCUCCUAUAUACUGGAUUCACCUGCACUCGAUACGAUUAGAAAAGAUGCAUCUG